UUGGAUUUCUGCGGGAGACGAAGGGUCUACCUUACGGUAAGUAUCUCUCAGGCUCCUGCAUCCUCACAGGAACGUCGCUGCGAUUCAUUUCGUGGUACGGUACUGUUGACUUUUACUUUGAGGAAAUUAGAGUGUUCACGGCAAGCAAACGCGUGUAUACAUUAGCAUGGAAUAAUAAUAUAGGACCUUGGAUCUAUUUUGUUGGUUUCUAGAACUAAGGUAAUGAUAAAUAGGGACAGUUUGGGGGCAUUUGUACUGACGCGUCAGAGGUGGAAUUCUUGGAUUGCGUUAUGACAAACUACUGCGAAAGCAUUUGCCAAGGAUGUUUUCAUUGAUCAAGAACGAAAGUAUGGGGAUCGAAGACGAUUAGA
rnacentral:rRNA from 1 species